rnacentral:rRNA from 1 species
UACGUAGGGUGCAAGCGUUGUCCGGAAUUAUUGGGCGUAAAGCGCUCGUAGGCGGUCUGUUGCGUCCGCUGUGAAAACUCGGGGCUUAACCCCGAGCCUGCAGUGGAUACGGGCAGACUAGAGGUAGGUAGGGGAGAAUGGAAUUCCCGGUGUAGCGGUGAAAUGCGCAGAUAUCGUAAGGAAGACCAGUGGCGAAGGCGAGUUUCUGGACGGUAACUGACGCUGAGGCACGAAGGCCAGGGGAGCAAACGGG